UACGUAGGGGGCAAGCGUUGUCCGGAUUUAUUGGGCGUAAAGAGCUCGUAGGCGGUCUGUCGCGUCUGCUGUGAAAACUCGGGGCUUAACCCCGGGCCUGCAGUGGGUACGGGCAGACUAGAGUGCGGUAGGGGAGACUGGAAUUCCUGGUGUAGCGGUGAAAUGCGCAGAUAUCAGGAGGAACACCGGUGGCGGAAGGCGGGUCUCUGGGCCGUAACUGGACGCUGGAGGAGCGAAAGCGUGGGGAGCGAAACAGGA
rnacentral:rRNA from 1 species